GGCGGGGUCGCCUAGUGGCCGAUGGCACGCGCCUUGAAAGCGUGAAACGGGCAACCGUUCGUGGGUUCGAAUCCCACCCCCGCCG
rnacentral:tRNA from 1 species